rnacentral:rRNA from 2 species
AACCCAAAAGCUAGCCUCU